rnacentral:rRNA from 1 species
AGUGAACGCUGGCGGUAGGCCUAACACACGCAAGUCGAACGGCAGCACAGUAAGAGCUUGCUCUUACGGGUGGCGAGUGGCGGACGGGUGGGGAAUACAUCGGAAUCUACUUUUUCGUGGGGGAUAACGUAGGGAAACUUACGCUAAUACCGCAUACGACCUACGGGUGAAAGCAGGGGAUCUUCGGACCUUGCGCGAUUGAAUGAGCCGAUGUCGGAUUAGCUAGUUGGCGGGGUAAAGGCCCACCAAGGCGACGAUCCGUAGCUGGUCUGAGAGGAUGAUCAGCCACACUGGAACUGAGACACGGUCCAGACUCCUACGGGAGGCAGCAGUGGGGAAUAUUGGACAAUGGGCGCAAGCCUGAUCCAGCCAUACCGCGUGGGUGAAGAAGGCCUUCGGGUUGUAAAGCCCUUUUGUUGGGAAAGAAAAGCAGCAGGUUAAUACCCCGCUGUUCUGACGGUACCCAAAGAAUAAGCACCGGCUAACUUCGUG